rnacentral:lncRNA from 1 species
GAGGCUUUGGGCCGUGUGCUUGGGCGCUUUUGUCCUUUGGGGACUAGAUUAUGCAUGCACAUAUAUGAUGAGAUAUGAGAUGGUAUUUCCCUGUCUAUCCGUGUAGCUCCGGGGGGUGACGUUACCCAGAUAGUACGUCAUUGCCCGUCCGUUGAGGUCCGGAUAUGACGAGAUUAUUUCCCUGGGUACUUGUUUGGUGAUGAUUUUCAGAUUUGUGAAUUCUAUAUGAUAUUGUGAUAUGAUUUCCAUGGUUAGUAAUCUGAUUUAAAUGUUUAAUGAUUUAUUACUAGUUUCUCGCUUAUGGUUUAAUGAAAUCGUGUUUGGAAAUGAUAUGAUUAUUUCUUUUAAAGUACGAAUUAAUUUUCAAAACUACUAUCUACUCACUGAUCUCACUGAGUUUUAAACUCACCCCGUUUUUAUUAUAUUUUCCCCCCUCACUAGGAGGUUGUAGGUACACCAGACCGAC